AUUGAACGCUGGCGGCAUGCCUAACACAUGCAAGUCGAGCGAGUGGCGGACGGGUGAGUAAUGUAUGGGGACUGCCCGAUAGAGGGGGAUAACUACUGGAAACGGUGGCUAAUACCGCAUACUAUCGGAUAACCCAUAUGGGAUUAGCUAGUAGGUGGGGUAAAGGCUCACCUAGGCGACGAUCUCUAGCUGGUCUGAGAGGAUGAUCGGCCCUACGGGGACUGAGACACGGCCCAGACUCCUACGGAGGCAGCAGUGGGGAAUAUUGCACAAUGGGGGAAAGCCGGAUGCAGCCAUGCCGCGUGUAUGAAGAAGGCCUUAGGGUUGUAAAGUACUUUCGGCGGGGAGGCGUUACCCGCAGAAGAAGCACCGGCUAACUCCGUGCCAGCAGCCGCGGUAAUAC
rnacentral:rRNA from 1 species